rnacentral:rRNA from 1 species
AUUGAACGCUGGCGGCAGGCCUAACACAUGCAAGUCGCACGAGUGGCGGACGGGUUAGUAAUGUCUGGGAAACUGCCUGAUGGAGGGGGAUAACUACUGGACACGGUAGCUAAUACCGCAUACCAUCAGAUGUGCCCAGAUGGGCUUAGCGAGUUGGUUGUGUAACGGCUAACCACGGCGACGAUCCCGAGCUGGUCUGAGAGGAUGACCAGCCACACUGGAACUGAGACACGGUCCAGACUCCUACGUGAGGCAGCAGUGGGGAAUAUUGCACAAUGGGCGCAAGCCUGAUGCAGCCAUGCCGCGUGUAUGAAGAAGGCCUUCGGGUUGUAAAGUACUUUCAGCGGGGAGGCGUUACCCGCAGAAGAAGCACCGGCUAACUCCGGGCCAGCCGCCGCGGUAAUAC